CAACUGGAGUGACAUUUGGUGUCAUACAAUGCAUAUCCAAUGCUGCAUACACUACAGUCGCAAGUUGAUCGCAAAUUGUUCUUCAAUGUGAGGCGUUGGAAUCCCGGUAACCAAGCUCACGACACAUGGGGUUAGGGGAUCAUCAAAGCCCUCGGACACUGCAAGUUUAUUGCCCACUGCCUUGUCCAUUUCCCAUCAAUCAUGGAGCACCAAGUGGCAUAUGUUUUUAUGGGGUCAUUCACUAAUUGAUCCUAACAACUUCCAGGCCCAUUUGCGGUCAAAGAAAGAUCUUGCCCCUUCAAGGAAAGUCAAUCAAGUGGCAAGAAAUAUGAAAAGUCAUGAAUAUAAUGGGGCUGGCAGUUACAAAGCAGGAUAUCUGCUCUCUCACAACACCCUCAAGGGCAAUAAUAAAUAAAUUUGAGCUCUCAUUCAUAGCCACUUUCUUUACCUUCUUUGUACAAUAUUUUGACCUGUUUCUUUGUUUUCUAGGUGUGACAACCGGUUCAUAGGGCAGCAGCAUCCCAAGGAGACUCAUUCAGGCCACUACUGGAAAAAGAAACUCCCCGAUUUCCUGCCCCAAAUGCUGCCUGCUCUCGACGACAACCCAAUCUUUUCACUAAUGUCCUGCCUACGGAGUUGCACGUAACCAGAACUGCGUGAGUGAUUCUUUUUAUUCCUUGACUCUUUAUAGUUGUGAAAAUUACAUCCCCAUGUUCCUGCUAGAGUGUGCCGAAUUGAGAAUGUCACGAGCUAUGAAGUUUACUGAAUAUUUGGUGGGGGGGGGGGGGAGGUUCCUCUGGAAGAUUCCACAAUUGUCCAUGAAAGAUGCAAAAUGCCUUUUCAGAAACUGGGGCCUGCCCUGAUUCCUCAUCACUUUUCUUAUUUUGGGUUUUAAAUUUUUUUUAAAUUUUUUUUUUGUCUUGUUGAACAAUAUGAAGACAUGGAAUGGUACAAGUUACCACCAACGAACAGCAGCUGUGCAUUGUCAAUCGGGAGAGCAAUGUUGACCACACAUUUUAGUUACACCUUGUAUUUAUAUUUAAUGGAAAUUGCAUAUGUGUUUAAGCAAUCUUUUGAUGACACAUUUUACUCAAUUUUGUAUAUUUAUUAAUUAAUUCGAUUUUCAAAGAAACAAUUGGA